rnacentral:tRNA from 1 species
GGCUUCGUAGCUCAGCUGGUAGAGCGCUUGCCGCGUAGAGGCAUGGUGUUGCUGUCGCUGUUUCGAAUCCAGUCGAAGCCC